UCCCAGUCCUCCCCAUUUGCAAUACUGCUCAAUACUUUGGAACCUCCAUAGUGAGAUUUGCCUGGAUGUCCUGCUAGGGUGCUAGGGGGGGUCGCCUCCCUGGCUACCCGAGUUUGACCCAUCGGCAUGGGAUUCGCAAUUUGGCUAUCUAGGAUGGUAGUCCUUGGUGCGUAGGGCAUGCGGCCUAGUUGUCUGACACGGUCCAAGUC
rnacentral:lncRNA from 1 species